AUCCUUUUGUAGUUCAUAAGGGUGACGAUUGGGUGUUCACACUCUUAUGUGAGAUGUGCCUCCUUCAAACCUUGUUAGAAUGUUGGCACAUUACCCAUCUGACA